rnacentral:rRNA from 1 species
UACGUAGGGUGCGAGCGUUAAUCGGAAUUACUGGGCGUAAAGCGUGCGCAGGCGGUUUUGUAAGCCAGAUGUGAAAUCCCCGGGCUCAACCUGGGAACGGCAUUUGGGACUGCAAGGCUUGAGUUUGGCAGAGGAGACUGGAAUUCCUGGUGUAGCAGUGAAAUGCGUAGAUAUCAGGAGGAAUACCGAUGGCGAAGGCAGGUCUCUGGGCUAUAACUGACGCUCAUGCACGAAAGCGUGGGGAGCAAACAGG